UACGGAGGGUGCAAGCGUUAUCCGGAUUCACUGGGUUUAAAGGGUGCGUAGGCGGGCAUGUAAGUCAGUGGUGAAAUCUCCGGGCUUAACCCGGAAACUGCCGUUGAUACUAUGUGUCUUGAAUAUCGUUGAGGUUUGCGGAAUAUGUCAUGUAGCGGUGAAAUGCUUAGAUAUGACAUAGAACACCAAUUGCGAAGGCAGCAGGCUAAACGAACAUUGACGCUGAGGCACGAAGGCGUGGGGAUCAAACAGG
rnacentral:rRNA from 1 species